AUUGGCGUCUUACCAGACAUGGUUAGAUGUAAUUAUCCGAGUCUAAUACUGUCUGGUAAUGCCGUCCAU
rnacentral:pre_miRNA from 1 species